GACGCCAGUCUGCGUGGAGCCAACCUUGAAAUACCACCCUUUAAUGUUUGAUGUUCUAACGUGGACCCGUAAUCCGGGUUGCGGACAGUGUCUGGUGGGUAGUUUGACUGGGGCGGUCUCCUCCCAAAGCGUAACGGAGGAGCACGAAGGUUAGCUAAUCCUGGUCGGACAUCAGGAGGUUAGUGCAAAGGCAUAAGCUAGCUUGACUGCGAGAGUGACAGCUCGAGCAGGUGCGAAAGCAGGUCUUAGUGAUCCGGUGGUUCUGAAUGGAAGGGCCAUCGCUCAACGGAUAAAAGGUACUCCGGGGAUAACAGGCUGAUACCGCCCAAGAGUUCAUAUCGACGGCGGUGUUUGGCACCUCGAUGUCGGCUCAUCACAUCCUGGGGCUGAAGUAGGUCCCAAGGGUAUGGCUGUUCGCCAUUUAAAGUGGUACGCGAGCUGGGUUUAGAACGUCGUGAGACAGUUCGGUCCCUAUCUGCCGUGGGCGUUGGAAGAUUGAGAGGGGUUGCUCCUAGUACGAGAGGACCGGAGUGAACGCACCACUGGUGUACGGGUUGUGAUGCCAAUUGCAUUGCCCGGUAGCUAAGUGCGGAAGAGAUAACCGCUGAAAGCAUCUAAGCGGGAAACUUGCCUCGAGAUGAGUCUUCCCUGGACACUUGAUGUCCCUGAAGGGCCGUUGAAGACGACGACGUAGAUAGGCUGGGUGUGUAAGCGUAGCGAUACGUUGAGCUAACCAGUACUAAUGACCCGAGAGGCUUAACCUUACAACACCGAAGGUGUUU
rnacentral:rRNA from 3 species